rnacentral:tRNA from 1 species
UGCCCGGGUGGGCGAGGAUCGCGUCGACGGCGUCCUUGCCGCCGUGCACGACGUUGAAGACGCCGUCGGGCAG